AUGAAAGAACAACUUACAAUCAGAAACACGGAGGCUUCUCUAAGAGCAGCGACGGUGGUUCGACUGGGAGGAGCUAUGAUUUUCGGUCUAAGGGGUGCUUCACGGGUGGUUGUGGAAGUAGAUCGAGGCGGAUCAAAGCGAGCAUGGGUGAGAGUGUCGCUGAUGUUGCGUGUCUGUCGGUUGCUAACGAGUGUAGCUCUGGUAAGAUUUCGGCGACGACGGUGUUACAAGCAAGGUGAUAAUGGUAUCAGUGGAGUUGUGAGUAUAUGUACAAAGAUUUUAAGGUGA